GGUCAAGCGAAUAAGUGCAUGCGGUGGAUGCCUUGGCGAUAACAGGCGAUGAAGGACGCGACAGCCUGCGAUAAGCUGCGGGGAGCCGGCAAAUGGGCGCUGAUCCGCAGAUUUCCGAAUGGGGAAACCCGGCCCGCAAGGGUCACCGGCACCUGAAUCCAUAGGGUGCCAGGAGCGAACCCGGAGAACUGAAACAUCUCAGUAACCGGAGGAACAGAAAUCAACCGAGAUUCCCAAAGUAGUGGCGAGCGAAAUGGGACCAGCCGUCGAGUUUUAGCACGCGCGUUAGCGAAAGGGUCUGGAAAGGCCGGCCGCAGAGGGUGAUAGCCCCGUACGCGAAAACGCGAGUGUGGAACUGAGCUCGAGACAAGUAGGGCGGGACACGUGAAAUCCUGUCUGAAGAUGGGGGGACCAUCCUCCAAGGCUAAAUACUCGUUAUCGACCGAUAGUGAACCAGUACCGUGAGGGAAAGGUGAAAAGAACCCCGGGAGGGGAGUGAAAUAGAACCUGAAACCGCGUGCCUACAAACAGUCGGAGCCCCGCAAGGGGUGACGGCGUACCUUUGUAUAAUGGGUCAGCGACUUACGUUCAGUUGCGAGCUUAAGGCUUGGUGCCGGAGGCGCAGCGAAAGCGAGUCUGAACAGGGCGUUCAGUAGCUGGGCGUAGACCCGAAACCGGUUGAUCUAUCCAUGGCCAGGCUUGAAGGUGGGGUAACACCUACUGGAGGGCCGAACCCACGCCCGUUGAAAAGGUCGGGGAUGAGCUGUGGAUAGGGGUGAAAGGCUAAACAAAACCGGAGAUAGCUGGUUCUCCUCGAAAACUAUUGAGGUAGUGCGUCGCGUAUUACCUUCGGGGGUAGAGCACUGUUAUGGCUAGGGGGCCGCUAUAGGCUUACCAAACCAUGGCAAACUCCGAAUACCGAAGAGUAGAGCGUGGCAGACAGUCCCCGGGUGCUAACGUCCGGGGUCAAGAGGGAAACAACCCAGACCGCCAGCUAAGGUCCCCAAUAUUGGCUAAGUGGAAAACGAGGUGGGAAGGCACAGACAGUCAGGAGGUUGGCUUAGAAGCAGCCAUCCUUUAAAGAAAGCGUAAUAGCUCACUGAUCAAGUCGUCCUGCGCGGAAGAUGUAACGGGGCUCAAGCCAAUAACCGAAGCUGCGGGUCGUCAGCGAUCCACUUGAUUGCGUUCCAAGGAGCCGCCACCGAAUGAGGUGAGCGAGCCUCCGACCUUCGAAGCAAAGUCCAACGAGAGCCGGGCCAUGUCCUCGCCGUGAAACUGCGGUGAUGGGCUCGCUCGCCUCAAUUGGGCGGUUUGACGCCUUGUUGUCUCGCGUGGCGAGACAUCAACGCGUCAACCUUGUGCUUCGAGGGGGCAGCGCAAUCAAGGGAUCGCUGACGGCGGUAGAGGAGCGUUCCCUACGCCUGUGAAGGUGUGUCGAGAGGCAUGCUGGAGGUAUGGGAAGUGCGAAUGCUGACAUGAGUAGCGAUAAAGGGAGUGAAAAGCUCCCUCGCCGAAAGCCAAGGUUUCCUGCGCAACGUUCAUCGGCGCAGGGUGAGUCGGCCCCUAAGGUGAGGCAGAGAUGCGUAGCUGAUGGGAAUCCGGUCAAUAUUCCGGAACCGCCGGCGGGUGCGAUGUGGGGACGGAGAAGGUUAUGCAGACCAGGUGUUGGACGUCCUGGUGAAGCGUGUAGGUGGAUCCCCUAGGGAAAUCCGGGGGGUCAACACUGAGGCGCGGGACCAGGGAAGCUUUGCUUCCCGAAGCUGCAGAUACCAUGCUUCCAGGAAAAGCCACUAAGCUUCAGCCCGUCGGGACCGUACCGCAAACCGACACAGGUGGGCAGGAUGAAAAUUCUCAGGCGCUUGAGAGAACUCAGGAGAAGGAACUCGGCAAAUUGACACCGUAACUUCGGGAGAAGGUGUGCCUUUGGUAGGUGAAGCGGCUUGCCCGCGUAAGCCGAAGAAGGCCGCAGAGAAUCGGUGGCUGCGACUGUUUAUCAAAAACACAGCACUCUGCUAAGACGUUGGAAGUCGACGUAUAGGGUGUGACGCCUGCCCGGUGCCGGAAGGUUAAGUGAUGGGGUGCAAGCUCUUGAUCGAAGCCCCGGUAAACGGCGGCCGUAACUAUAACGGUCCUAAGGUAGCGAAAUUCCUUGUCGGGUAAGUUCCGACCCGCACGAAUGGCGUAACGAUGGCCACACUGUCUCCUCCUGAGACUCAGCGAAGUUGAAAUGUUUGUGAAGAUGCAAUCUACCCGCGGCUAGACGGAAAGACCCCAUGAACCUUUACUGUAGCUUUGCAUUGGACUGUGACGCUGUCUGUGUAGGAUAGCUGGGAGCCUUUGAAGCCGGGAUGCUAGUUCCGGUGGAGGCGACGUUGAAAUACCAGCCUGAUAGCGUUGCGGUUCUAACCUGGGCCUUGACGGGGUCGGGGACCGUGCAUGGUAGGCAGUUUGACUGGGGCGGUCUCCUCCCAAAGAGUAACGGAGGAGUGCGAAGGUCACCUAGGUACGGUCGGAAAUCGUACUCAUAGUGCAAUGGCAUAAGGUGGCUUGACUGCGAGACAGACAAGUCGAGCAGGUGCGAAAGCAGGUCAUAGUGAUCCGGUGGUUCUGUAUGGAAGGGCCAUCGCUCAACGGAUAAAAGGUACUCUGGGGAUAACAGGCUGAUUCCUCCCAAGAGUUCAUAUCGACGGGGAGUUUGGCACCUCGAUGUCGGCUCAUCACAUCCUGGGGCUGUAGCCGGUCCCAAGGGUAUGGCUGUUCGCCAUUUAAAGUGGUACGUGAGCUGGGUUCAAAACGUCGUGAGACAGUUUGGUCCCUAUCUGCCGUGGGCGUUGGAGAUUUGACGGGGGCUGCUCCUAGUACGAGAGGACCGGAGUGGACGCAUCCCUGGUGUACCGGUUGUGACGCCAGUCGCAUUGCCGGGUAGCUAUAUGCGGAAGAGAUAACCGCUGAAAGCAUCUAAGCGGGAAACUUGCCUGAAGAUGAGAUCUCCCGGAGGCUUGACCUCCCUGAAGGGUCGUCCGAGACCAGGACGUUGAUAGGCCGGGUGUGCAAGGCGGGCAACCGCUUGAGCUAACCGGUACUAAUUGCCCGUGCGGCUUGACUCU
rnacentral:rRNA from 1 species